rnacentral:rRNA from 1 species
GACGAACGCUGGCGGCGUGCUUAACACAUGCAAGUCGAACGGAAAGGCCCUGCUUUUGUGGGGUGCUCGAGUGGCGAACGGGUGAGUAACACGUGAGUAACCUGCCCUUGACUUUGGGAUAACUUCAGGAAACUGGGGCUCAUACCGGCUAGGAGCUCCUGCUGCAUGGUGGGGGUUGGAAAGAUUCGGCGGUUGGGGAUGGACUGGCGGCUUAUCGGCUUGUUGGUGGGGUAGUGGCUUACCAAGGCUUUGACGGGUAGCCGGCCUGGGAGGGUGACCGGCCACAUUGGGACUGAGAUACGGCCCAGACUCCUACGGGAGGCAGCAGUGGGGAAUAUUGCACAGUGGGCGGAAGCCAGAUGCAGCAACGCCGCGUGCGGGAUGACGGCCUUCGGGUUGUAAACCGCUUUCGCCUGUGACGAAGCGUGAGUGACGGUAAUGGGUAAAGAAGCACCGGCUAACUACGUG